rnacentral:rRNA from 1 species
GACGAACGCUGGCGGCGUGCUUAACACAUGCAAGUCGAACGGAAAGGCCCUGCUUUUGUGGGGUGCUCGAGUGGCGAACGGGUGAGUAACACGUGAGUAACCUGCCCUUGACUUUGGGAUAACUUCAGGAAACUGGGGCUAAUACCGGAUAGGAGCUCCUGCUGCAUGGUGGGGGUUGGAAAGUUUCGGCGGUUGGGGAUGGACUCGCGGCUUAUCAGCUUGUUGGUGGGGUAGUGGCUUACCAAGGCUUUGACGGGUAGCCGGCCUGAGAGGGUGACCGGCCACAUUGGGACUGAGAUACGGCCCAGACUCCUACGGGAGGCAGCAGUGGGGAAUAUUGCACAAUGGGCGGAGGCCUGAUGCAGCAACGCCGCGUGCGGGAUGGCGGCCUUCGGGUUGUAAACCGCUUUCGCCUGUGACGAAGCGUGAGUGACGGUAAUGGGUAAAGAAGCACCGGCUAACUACGUG